rnacentral:tRNA from 1 species
GGGGACGUAGCUCAGCUGGUUAGAGCGUCUGCCUGUCACGCAGAAGGUCGCGGGUUCGAGCCCCGUCGUUCCCGCCA